rnacentral:lncRNA from 1 species
CUCAUUAAAACCUUGUAUCUCAAUAUUAAGUCACUUUUUAAUGAAUUAUUUCUAUUGGUUACUUCAGCGAGAGAGAGGACUAGAUGUUCCAUGAAGUGGAUCAGACAGCCUUGCCCUCUGAAGUAGACCAUGCCAAACUUCCAAGUACACCCUGCGUAAUUGUGUGUGGAAGUUCCCCUUUGACUGCAGAGAACUUUGAUUUCUGUCGACCAAGUCAUAGUUAACAGCCACAUCACCAUCUUCUGCGAUGCUCUGAAGUUUGAUGUUUGCCUCAUACUACUGCUUGAAUAUUUCAUACUCAGGAGACCAAGGAGCAACGCUAGAGUUCGUGCAAAGAUGCCUUUUUAAGAUAAACCCCGAGAAGGGAUCGAAAGUGGAGAAGACCACAUCGAGAAAGCAAUCGGCCAAAGGUUCUUUGACU